GCCUUAUCCAUGUUGUGAGAAAUGACCACUCUCCUUGACUGAACUGAAUCAUGGGAGCUCCCAGUCCAAUUACUCGGCGGCAGCGGCACGCCCGCGGCGGCGGGGAAGCUCGGCGGCGGCAGGCGGCGGCCGCGCCACAGCAGGCCGAGCAGCGCGCCCAGCGAGGCGGCGGCGGCGGCGCAGCCCGCGUACAGGGCGAGGCGGAGCGGCAGCAGCAGGGCCCAGCCGGGCCAACCGCCGCCCCCCGGCCCGGAGAGCUCCCGCCCCAGCAGGGCGACGGAGGCGGCCAGCAGCCCCAGCCCCGCCGCCAGCACGAAGCGGGACGCGCGGGGGUCGUCGUCCUCCUCGUCUUCCGCCGCCCCCUCCUCGCCGGCGGCCGCCGGGGCGCCGCGACCGCCGGUUUCGCCGCCGGGGCCGUGCGAGCCCGCGGGGCCGGCGGCGCCCCCCCCCGCCGCUUCGGGCUGCCCGGCCGCGCCGCUAGCGCUGUCGGCUGCGGGGAGCAUGCUGCUGGCGGCGCCGCGGGCAGCCAGCGCAUCUCCCUCCGCGGCAGCCCCCCGCGAAGGUCGCCGUCGCCGGGGUCUCCCUCCGCCUCUCGCCGCCGCCACUGGCACCGCUGCGGCCGCCGGGGGAGCCGGCUCUCAUGCCCGCCGGCCCGGCCGCUUCCUGGCGGCAGCACCGCCCGCCGGUGGGCGCGGGGAGCCCAGCGCCGCGGCGGCAGCAGGCGGGGAGGCCCCGCCGCG
rnacentral:lncRNA from 1 species